CCGUGCAGCCGGGGAGUUAGCGGUGCCCUGUACCUGCAAUCCGCUUAGCAGGGGUGUUGUCUCAUGGAGGGUCGGCUCGGGAUGAGCUGCCCGCAGUAAGUGGCGUUGAAGUUUGGGUCCUGUGCAACGGAGACUCGUGAACCGUGUCAGGUCGGGAACGAAGCAGCACUAAGCGAUGCUUUCCGUGUGUCGUGGGGAAGCCUGGACUGAGCUUACUGCUGCGGUAACGUCAGUCCGAACCGAUUCGAAGUGGGACGCACGG
rnacentral:SRP_RNA from 1 species